UACGUAAUCAGCUCAUAGCGUAUAUUAAGUUGUUGCAGUUAAAAAGCUCGUAGUUGAAUUUCGGGAUUUGUCAGUUGGUCGGGCUUMACUGUCCGUAUUGACUUGAUGGAUUCUUACCUUCUGAAUAACCAGCAUGCUAUUAAKUUAGUGCGUUGGGGAAGCAGAUCUAUUACCUUGAAAAAAUUAGAGUGCUUAAAGCGAGCUAGUGCUUGAAUAGAUUAGCAUGGAAUAAUAAAAUAGGACGGCAUGGUUCUAUUUUGUUGGUUUCUAGGAUCACCGUAAUGAUUAAUAGGGAUAGUUGGGGGCAUUAGUAUUCAAUUGUCAGAGGUGAAAUUCUUGGAUUUAUUGAAGACUAACUUCUGCGAAAGCAUUUGCCAAGGAUGUUUUCAUUAAUCAAGAACGAAAGUUAGGGGAUCGAAGACGAUCAGAUACCGUCGUAGUCUUAACCAUAAACUAUGCCGACUAGGAAUCGGACGAUGUUAAUUUUAUAAUGACUCGUUCGGCGCCUUAMCGGGAAACAA
rnacentral:rRNA from 1 species